rnacentral:rRNA from 1 species
UACGGAGGGUGCGAGCGUUGUCCGGAAUCACUGGGCGUAAAGGGCGCGUAGGCGGCCUGAUAAGUAGGGGGUGAAAUCCUGCGGCUUAACCGCAGGGCUGCCUUCUAAACUGUCAGGCUAGAGCACGGUAGAGGCAGGUGGAAUUCCCGGUGUAGCGGUGGAAUGCGUAGAGAUCGGGAAGAACAUCAGUGGCGAAGGCGGCCUGCUGGGCUGUUGCUGACGCUGAGGCGCGACAGCGUGGGGAGCAAACAGG